rnacentral:rRNA from 1 species
UACGUAGGUGGCAAGCGUUGUCCGGAUUUACUGGGCGUAAAGAGCGCGCAGGCGGUCGUUCAAGUCGCGUGUGAAAGCCCCCGGCUCAACUGGGGAGGGUCACGCGAUACUGAUCGACUCGAAGGCAGGAGAGGGAUGUGGAAUGCCCGGUGGAGCGGUGAAAUGCGUAGAGAUCGGGCGGAACACCAGCGGCGAAGGCGGCAUCCUGGCCCUGACCUGACGCUGAGGCGCGAGAGCGUGGGGAGCAAACCGG